rnacentral:rRNA from 1 species
GAUGAACGCUGGCGGCGUGCCUAAUACAUGCAAGUCGAGCGAACGGACGAGAAGCUUGCUUCUCUGAUGUUAGCGGCGGACGGGUGAGUAACACGUGGAUAACCUACCUAUAAGACUGGGAUAACUUCGGGAAACCGGAGCUAAUACCGGAUAAUAUUUUGAACCGCAUGGUUCAAAGGUGAAAGACGGUCUUGCUGUCACUUAUAGAUGGAUCCGCGCUGCAUUAGCUAGUUGGUAAGGUAACGGCUUACCAAGGCAACGAUGCAUAGCCGACCUGAGAGGGUGAGCGGCCACACUGGAACUGAGACACGGUCCAGACUCCUACGGGAGGCAGCAGUAGGGAAUCUUCCGCAAUGGGCGAAAGCCUGACGGAGCAACGCCGCGUGAGUGAUGAAGGUCUUCGGAUCGUAAAACUCUGUUAUUAGGGAAGAACAUAUGUGUAAGUAACUGUGCACAUCUUGACGGUACCUAAUCAGAAAGCCACGGCUAACUACGUG